GAGAGUCAGGAAACAUGCUGGAGAGGAUAUGGAGAAAUAGGAAGGCUUUUACACUCUUGGUGGGAGUGUAAAUUAUUCCAACCAUUGCGGAAGAUGGUGUCUCCAUUCCUCAAGAAUCUAGAAAUAGAAAUUCCAUUUGACCCAGCAUCCCAUUAUUGGGUAUAUACCCAGAGGAUUAUAAA